rnacentral:rRNA from 1 species
UGGAAAGGCGCGCGAUACAGGGUGACAGCCCCGUACACAAAAGCGCAUGUGCUGUGAGCUCGAUGAGUAGGGCGGGACACGUGGUAUCCUGUCUGAAUAUGGGGGGACCAUCCUCCAAGGCUAAAUACUCCUGACUGACCGAUAGUGAACCAGUACCGUGAGGGAAAGGCGAAAAGAACCCCGGCGAGGGGAGUGAAAAAGAACCUGAAACCGUGUACGUACAAGCAGUGGGAGCACAGGUUUACCUGUGUGACUGCGUACCUUUUGUAUAAUGGGUCAGCGACUUAUAUUCUGUAGCAAGGUUAACCGAAUAGGGGAGCCGUAGGGAAACCGAGUCUUAACCGGGCGUUAAGUUGCAGGGUAUAGACCCGAAACCCGGUGAUCUAGCCAUGGGCAGGUUGAAGGUUGGGUAACACUAACUGGAGGACCGAACCGACUAAUGUUGAAAAAUUAGCGGAUGACCUGUGGCUGGGGGUGAAAGGCCAAUCAAACCG